AACGAACGCUGGCGGCGUGCCUAACACAUGCAAGUCGAACGAAAACGUCCUGUCUUUUGGCGCUCCGGUGGGUGCCACCGGGGAAGCUGCCCGUGGGUUCCGAAUACUUCACCGAGAGAGAUCUUAAGGCAAGUGAAGCUCUUACCACCAAAGAUUUACCGCCUGUGGGUGGGCGCGAGUUGGAUUCGCUUGUUGGGAGGGGAAAAGCCUACCAACGGGACGAUCCAUAGCUGGUCUGUGAGGAUGAUCAGGCAGACUGGGACUGAGACACGGCCCAGACUCCUACGGGAGGCAGCAGUGGGGAAUAUUGGACAAUGGGCGAAAGCCUGAUCCAGCAAUGCCGCGUGAGUGAUGAAGGCCUUAGGGUUGUAAAGCUCUUUUACCCGGGAUGAUAAUGACGGUACCGGGAGAAUAAGCUCCGGCUAACUCCGUG
rnacentral:rRNA from 1 species